rnacentral:ncRNA from 1 species
GCAAAACCGAUGAAGGAACAAAGAUUCUGAAGGUCUUCAGAGAGCCGGUGGUUGGUGCAAACCGGUGGCGGACAGUGUUCUUUAGCGCUCCUGAGAUAUUGUAUCGAACGAACAGUAGAUGCAAUCGGAUCAACUCCGUUAUCAGUGUGGCCUUUUGACGGCCAAUGAGGCUGCUUCUGAACAGUUGCAGUGAAUUAGGGUGGUACCACGACAACUCUCGUCCCUUAC